rnacentral:tRNA from 1 species
GGGCCAUUAGCUCAGUUGGUAGAGCAGACGCCUCUUAAGCGUAAGGUCGAGAGUUCGAGUCUCUCAUGGCCCA